GAUGAACGCUGACAGAAUGCUUAACACAUGCAAGUCAACUUGAACUUCGGUUUGGGUGGCGGACGGGUGAGUAACGCGUAAAGAACUUGCCUCACAGCUAGGGACAACAUUUGGAAACGAAUGCUAAUACCUGAUAUUAUGAUUAUAUGGCAUCGUAUAAUUAUGAAAGCUAUAUGCGCUGUGAGAGAGCUUUGCGUCCCAUUAGCUAGUUGGAGAGGUAACAGCUCACCAAGGCGAUGAUGGGUAGCCGGCCUGAGAGGGUGAUCGGCCACAAGGGGACUGAGACACGGCCCUUACUCCUACGGGAGGCAGCAGUGGGGAAUAUUGGACAAUGGACCGAGAGUCUGAUCCAGCAAUUCUGUGUGCACGAUGAAGUUUUUCGGAAUGUAAAGUGCUUUCAGUUGGGAAGAAAAAAAUGACGGUACCAACAGAAGAAGGGACGGCUAAAUACGUG
rnacentral:rRNA from 1 species